rnacentral:rRNA from 1 species
UACGUAGGGUGCAAGCGUUAAUCGGAAUUACUGGGCGUAAAGCGUGCGCAGGCGGUUCGUUGUGUCGGCGGUGAAAGCCCCGGGCUUAACCUGGGAAUGGCCGUUGAAACUGGCGAACUGGAGUGUGGCAGAGGGGGGUGGAAUUCCGCGUGUAGCAGUGAGAUGCGUAGAGAUGCGGAGGAACACCGAUGGCGAAGGCAGCCCCCUGGGCUAACACUGACGCUCAGGCACGAAAGCGUGGGGAGCAAACAGG